rnacentral:misc_RNA from 1 species
GUGAAUCAUCAAAUCUUUGAACGCAAAUUGCACUUUCUGGUAUUCCGGAAAGUAUGCCUGUUUGAGGGUCAGUUAAAUAAAAAUCGGUUUUUUUGCUGCUGUUGGUGGUGACGCGUCGGAAUUUGGUCGUCUUACCUUCGGUUAGGGGACUUAAAAUUUUUGCAUGAUUUUCGAACGUAUUUAAAUCGCUUACGUACGUUUGAGAUAUCGAAAGAUUAUUAG